ensembl:lncRNA
GUUCGGGCCUCAGAGAGAAGAUGAAUUGUAAGCAAAAUUCAAAAAUCACGAUUCUGGGGAAAGAGACCCCCAAAUCCAGAGCCCUGUAGUACCAGCCCUGCUAGUUCAACUGAAGGCUGCAGCAUGCCCUGAUCUAAACGGGAAAACACAACAAGGAAAAUAUCAGAAGCACAAGCCAGAGCUGUUGUCCUCCUUACUCAUCCACUCAUCCAUCAAGAUAAGUCAGCUCUCAUCCAACAAGCAACUUAGCCGCUGACACACUGCCAGCUGGUCCCAUCAAGUUAGGUGGCAUGCGUCACCCAACAAGCUGCCUGUUGGAAUAGCUGGCUGUUACAUAGCCUGUUAAGAACCAGGCGAACAAGACCACCAAAAUGUGGCAGCUGCUGUCCAGACAAGACACCUUCAGGCAGAGCUGGGUGCAGCCCGGUGACUCGUGCAGACAACAUCUGGGUUUUAGUUGGAAGACGGCCUCUGCGUUGGAUGAAGCUCUUCCCACAGAAUGGCCUCUUCUCUGGUCUGGAAUCUGCUAGGACUCCAUCUUCCCACACUGGGUCCAUGCAUGGUGUCCAGAAGAUCAAAUCCUAUAUGUUGGAGUGUAUGCGUUCUGGAUAAGUUACGGAAAAGGCACAAGGAGGCAGAGGGACCCGAGGUCCCAGGACCUCAGACACAAGAACUGAUUUCUUAGCAGUGUAGCUGGUCUGUUUCAACAUAGGUAUCAGUUUUGGUGUUCUGUUUUCUCACAGCACCCCCACCAGUAAUGAAAGACUGGGCUAUUGUAGGGAACUCACACUGUGAUUGUGGAA